UACGUAGGGUGCAAGCGUUAAUCGGAAUUACUGGGCGUAAAGCGUGCGUAGGCGGUGGUCCAAGUCUGGUGUGAAAUCUCCCGGCUCAACUGGGAGGGUGCGCCGGAAACUGGGCCGCUGGAGUAUGGGAGAGGCAAGCGGAAUUCCAGGUGUAGCGGUGAAAUGCGUAGAUAUCUGGAGGAACACCCGUGGUGCAGACGGCUUGCUGGACCAUGACUGACGCUGGAGGCACGAAAGCGUGGGUAGCAAACAGG
rnacentral:rRNA from 1 species